UGGGGAAUUUUCCGCAAUGGGCGAAAGCCUGAUCCAGCAAUGCCGCGUGGGUGAAGACGGCCUGCGGGUUGUAAAGCCCUUUUCGUGGGGACGAAAGCCCUGGGGUGAACAGGCUCAGGGGGUGACGGUACCCGCGGAAGAAGUACCGGCCAACUCCGUGCCAGCAGCCGCGGUAAGACGGAGGGUGCAAGCGUUAAUCGGAAUUACUGGGCGUAAAGCGCACGUAGGCGGUGGUGUCAGUCCGUUGUGAAAGCCCCGGGCUUAACCUGGGAAUGGCAAGGGCGACGGCAGCACUGGAGUGUAACAGAGGACCGUGGAAUUCCCGGUGUAGCGGUGAAAUGCGUAGAGAUCGGGAAGAACACCGAUGGCGAAGGCAGCGGUCUGGGUUAACACUGACGCUGAGGGGCGACAGCGUGGGGAGCAAACAGGAUUAGAUACCCUGGUAGUCCACGCCGUAAACGAUGAGAACUAGACGCUGGGCAGGUCACUGCUCGGUGUCGCAGCUAACGCGUGAAGUUCUCCGCCUGGGGAGUACGGCCGCAAGGUUG
rnacentral:rRNA from 1 species